GACGAACGCUGGCGGCGUGCUUAACACAUGCAAGUCGAGCGGUAAGGCCCUUUCGGGGGUACACGAGCGGCGAACGGGUGAGUAACACGUGGGUGACCUGCCCUCAGCUCUGGGAUAAGCCUGGGAAACCGGGUCUAAUACCGGAUAUGACUCCAUGACGCAUGUUGUGGGGUGGAAAGCCUUGUGCGGCUGAGGAUGGGCCCGCGGCCUAUCAGCUUGUUGGUGGGGUGAUGGCCUACCAAGGCGACGACGGGUAGCCGGCCUGAGAGGGCGACCGGCCACACUGGGACUCGAGACACGGCCCAGACUCCUACGGGAGGCAGCAGUGGGGAAUCUUGCGCAAUGGGCGAAAGCC
rnacentral:rRNA from 1 species